GUGGCACUUCAACCAUCUCUCUCCUUCCCCUCUGUGUCAGUGGGGCCCAACAGGGAUCUGAGCUUACACUUCAACUUAAAAGCACAAACUAUGUGGAUUUGCUGUGGGGAUGCACAGAUGGAUGAAGGUUAUGCACAGAAAGUGUUAUUCACAGAAGGGGGUAAGGCUACUGAAACAACACACGUCGUCUUACAAUAAGAUGAUUCACCUCAGACCAGCCUGGGCAACAUGAUUCAUCAUUACCUUUGGGGGCAUGUUUAAAAGAGAUGCUUUCAUGUCCAAGUCUGGAAAUCCCAGCAU